GGGGGUGUAAUGGUUUCGACAGUAAUUUAGAAAUAUAGAUAGCGAGUAGUGGAUGGUUGCUUUGGCCACUUAAAAAAAGCAAAAUAAAUAUAAACGCUAAUAACGAAGAAUUAGCUUACGCUGCCUAAGGUUGCAGCGACGUCUUAUCUUUAAUGCCCACGUUUUAGAAUAAGGCGACGAUUUAGUGGGAAACGAAGCUGCUUUUUGCUAUGAAAGCAGGGGGUAAUGUAUAUAGCUACUCUAAAACUAAGUUUGUUUGUUAACUAAGUUUUAGGGAAAGUUUGAUAACAAACUGCACUCGGAGAAGUCUAUGUGGAAAGGUUAUUGGACAGGAGUUCAACUCUCCUCACCUCCACCA
rnacentral:tmRNA from 1 species